rnacentral:rRNA from 1 species
UAAGGAAUAUUGGUCAAUGGAGGGAACUCUGAACCAGCCAUGCCGCGUGAAGGAUGACGGCCCUCUGGGUUGUAAACUUCUUUUGGAUGGGGCGAAAAAACGGGAUUUAUCCUGGACUGACGGUACCAUCAGAAUAAGCACCGGCUAACUCCGUGCCAGCAGCCGCGGUAAUACGGAGGGUGCAAGCGUUAUCCGGAAUCACUGGGUUUAAAGGGUGCGUAGGCGGUUGUAUAAGUCAGGGGUGAAAGCACGCAGCUUAACUGUGUAAUUGCCUUUGAUACUGUACGGCUUGAAUAGGGUUGAGGUUGGCGGAAUGUGACAUGUAGCGGUGAAAUGCAUAGAUAUGUCAUAGAACACCGAUUGCGAAGGCAGCUGACUGGGCCUAUAUUGACGCUGAGGCACGAAAGCGUGGGGAGCGAACAGG